GACGGAGACCCCAAGCGUUGUUCGGAAUCACUGGGCUUAGAGCGGGUGUAGGCGGGACGGUAAGUACUGUGUGAAAUCCCCGGUCUCAACCCGGGAACUGCUUGGUAUACUGCCGUUCUUGAGGCAGGUAGGGGUCACUGGAACCUUUGGUGGAGCGGUGAAAUGCGUAGAUAUCUAAGGGAACGCCUGUGGCGAAAGCGGGUGACUGGGCCUGUUCUGACGCUGAGACCCGAAAGCGUAGGGAGCAAACGGG
rnacentral:rRNA from 1 species